rnacentral:miRNA from 1 species
AUGGUGUCCAGGUCGUCGC